rnacentral:misc_RNA from 1 species
AAAGAGAAGGAAUUUGCAUGAGAGUUGAGUAUUUAUGGGUGCACUGAUUGUUACAGGGAGGUGCCCAUUGCUGUGGAAUCAUCUUUUUGAGCCGUUUUUCGAACAGAAAAUUGUAAGUCUCGCCGUUUUGCCUUGUUGGGUCUCUCUCAAAAUUGAAGAAAAGUGAAGAGAAGAGAAGGAAAAUGGAUGGUGGAAUGGGGGGCAAG